AAUGGCGGCUAUGGCGCCGGUGAGCACCUCUUCCCAUCCCGAACAGAGAAGUUAAGCCCGGCUGCGCCGAUGGUACUGGGGUCACACCCGGGAGAGUAGGUGGCCGCCAACCCCACCACAGCAGCCCCUGAUGCCCCCAAGCGUCAGGGGCUGCCUGCGUUUACACCCACCACCCACCGCCA
rnacentral:rRNA from 1 species